CGGGCUGGGGCCGUGAAGCACUGAGGAGGAUCAGGAACACGGUGUCCGGCCCUGCCUGGGGUGUUUCGUCAAUGGAGAAGUUGGUGAAUGUGGAGGAGGCUGAAAGGAGGGAGAGGAGCUGCAGCUUGAGGAGACAGGUUUGAGCUGGCUGGAGGCUACUCGCGAGCAGAAGGGGGUCUGGCCACCCACCACAGAAGCAAUAAACGGACCAGCAUCCUCUCUAAAGGUGAAGAAGGCUACUGCUCUCGGGUCUGGACACACUGGGAGCCCCUUUCCCACGAUGCUGCACAUACACAAUGGUUAUUAGAUGACCUUUCUACCGAGAAGAGGCAUUCUUCUGGAAGGCUGGCUCCUGUUACCUAAUGUCUGGUUGGU
rnacentral:lncRNA from 1 species